CCUUCACCUAUGAGAUUUGAGCGGAGUAGCCUUAUACCUAGUAGGUCGAGAUGUGAGUCGUGCAAAGUGCGGGGUAGCCUUUGCCUAGGACCUUGAGAUGUGGGUCGGGCAAAGUGCGGGGUAGCCUUUGCCUAGGACCUUCGAGAUUGGGUCGGACCUUCGAGAUCUAAGUCGGGCGAGGAGCGGGGUAGCUCUUUGCUCAGGAUCCUUAAGACAUGAAUCGAAUGAGACAAGAAUGAGGUAGCUUUUCACCUACUAGAUUUGAGAUCUUAGGCAAAGUAGCCUAGUGGAUUGGGCAAUAAUGUGAAUAGCAUAAGUGGAUUGCAUUCAUACCAUGAUUAGACAUAGUGCAUUGCAUAACUAUGUUAUAGUUGUAUUCAUUUCACUGUUGAGGCAUAUUAGCAUGAUAGUAGAUUGUUGCUAGAUGAUGUUCCAUGCAUACUUUGCAUUUGAUGGCAUAGUAGAUAUAGUAGUAGUAUUUCGUAUAUCUUUCUAUCUAUCUAUCUGUGCCAGCUUGGACCUAGUGGGAAGAUCGGCGGAGUCGGCGGCCGAACCCACUGGGAACUAUAUUUAUAUAGUUCUUACCCCGUGUGGUUUUGGGGUACAGGUACACACGAGAGCGGAUCGACAGAGGAUCGCAGUUUGGGCUUAGCGCCCUAGUGCUAGUUGGUAGUUUACUUUCCUAUUUUGCAUUAGAGUUACCCUAUACAUGUAUUGAGAGUAGAUGAUGUAUAGGAUGUGAGGUAUUUUGAGAUAAAUGUAAACUAAUGUUUAUCUUUUGAAGAAUGUAAGCUUAUAUUCAUAGUUUGGAAAAGAAUGCAAGUUGUAAUUAAAUGUAUCGAGCUGAAUGGUUGUAAUAGAAUAGUUAAGUAUCUCUCUUUUGUUUCACUUGUAUGUCUUCUACUUGUGACGCUUGCUCUUGUAAUGUUCAGCACUGUUCGUGCUUUGGUUGUUGUAUGAUUGUGUAUGUAUUCAAGUGUUUUUCUGGAAACUUGUUGUACAAAAUCUCGUCAUUUGAGCCUUGGGCGGACAGGGGAGACUCUGUCCGUUUGGCAGUCCGCUUGCCGCGCCCGAACCGUGCCCAAUCGGUAGCGGCCUCGGGGCUGGGGCGUGACAUUAUCCCUCUAACCAAACGGGGCCUUUGACAUAAAGGCGACCUAGUAGCUUCGGUGAACACAACCCACAUCGAUUCG
rnacentral:lncRNA from 1 species